rnacentral:rRNA from 1 species
GUGGGGAAUCUUGCGCAAUGGGCGAAAGCCUGACGCAGCCAUGCCGCGUGAAUGAUGAAGGUCUUAGGAUUGUAAAAUUCUUUCACCGGGGACGAUAAUGACGGUACCCGGAGAAGAAGCCCCGGCUAACUUCGUGCCAGCAGCCGCGGUAAUACGAAGGGGGCUAGCGUUGCUCGGAAUUACUGGGCGUAAAGGGCGCGUAGGCGGACAGUUUAGUCAGAGGUGAAAGCCCAGGGCUCAACCUUGGAAUUGCCUUUGAUACUGGCUGUCUGGAGUACGGGAGAGGUGAGUGGAACUCCGAGUGUAGAGGUGAAAUUCGUAGAUAUUCGGAAGAACACCAGUGGCGAAGGCGACUCACUGGCCCGUUACUGACGCUGAGGCGCGAAAGCGUGGGGAGCAAACAGGAUUAGAAACCCCGGUAGUCC